CCUACGGGAGGCAGCAGUCGAGAAUCAUUCACAAUGGGGGAAACCCUGAUGGUGCGACGCCGCGUGGGGGAAUGAAGGUCUUCGGAUUGUAAACCCCUGUCAUGUGGGAGCAAAUUAAAAAGAUAGUACCACAAGAGGAAGAGACGGCUAACUCUGUGCCAGCAGCCGCGGUAAUACAGAGGUCUCAAGCGGUGUUCGGAAUCACUGGGCGUAAAGCGUGCGUAGGCUGUUUCGUAAGUCGUGUGUGAAAGGCGCGGGCUCAACCCGCGGACGGCACAUGAUACUGCGAGACUAGAGUAGUGGAGGGGGAACCGGAAUUCGCGGUGUAGCAGUGAAAUGCGUAGAUAUCGAGAGGAACACUCGUGGCGAAGGCGGGUUCCUGGACAUUAACUGACGCUGAGGCACGAAGGCCAGGGGAGCGAAAGGGAUUAGAUACCCUAGUAGUC
rnacentral:rRNA from 1 species